rnacentral:misc_RNA from 1 species
UUGAAGUAAACCUGAUAGAUUGUUGCUGGUUCUUUAAUGAACAUGUGCACAUCUGUCAUCUUUAUAUCUCCACCUGUGCACCUUUUGUAGACCUGGACAAGUUUCUUAAUCCUAGUAUUAAGGUUUUGGGAUUGACUUUAUUGACUUUCCUUAUAUUUCUGGGUCUAUGUUUAUUCAAAUACCCCAAUGUAUGUUAUAGAAUGUAAUAAGUGGGCCUUUGUGCCUAUAACAAUAUA